GGGGGUCCCUGCUACACGUGAAUCAUUAACAUUUACAACCUGAUCCUAGGGCCGUCCCCAUACCCCGUCCGGUAUGGGCGCCAAAAACCAUGAACCUCAAUACCCCAUCCGGUAUGAGGGUGAAACGGGUCGUCCCCAUACCCCGUCCGAUAUGGGUGCCAAAACACAUAAGGUCUCCAUACCCCGUCCGGUAUGAGAGACCACAUUCCCGGUAGAGUUCCCUAUGGACCCGGUCCGUCGACCACCUCCAAGGAUAUCUAGUCAGGCUGUCCACAUUAUCCACUCAUCAAUUCACAUAACUUUUUUGCCUUUUUUCUUGAUCUCAAUCAUCCAAUCAUACACAACAUGUAAACCAGUAAUUGACACCAAACAAGACAACACAGUAUCGGGUUCACCAUAAUACAAACCAUAAUAAAAGAAACCAUGAUUCAUGCAUACGAGAUCACAACAGAAUUACAUCAAACAUCAUGUUGCAUUUAAUACUAAAAAUUAGAUCAAACAAUAACAGACCAACAUUGUAUCAGACUCGGGCUCCAUUGGCAAUCUUAAUCAAUUAUACAUCUAUAAAGUCACACAGUACAAUUUAAUUAUUUAUUUAGCUUUAAUACCGCGAUAGGAAAUAGGGUG
rnacentral:lncRNA from 1 species